UCCGGCUCACCGUGACCCCGUAUGGGACAAGCGGUUCAGAAAAUGUGUGUGUGAUGGGUCUCAUUUGUGCCUAUCUGAGGCAAAGCUGAUGGACACAAUGUAUUUGAUCUGUAUCUUUGUUAUAUAAAGCUUUUUGUAGUCUUUUGCAAUUUUAUUUUCAACUCAAAGCGGGGUGCGGUGGCGCAGCGGGUUUGGCCUGUGCCUGCUCUCUGGUGGGUCUGGGGUUUGAGUCCCACUUGGGCUGUCUUGUGAUGGACUGGCGUCCCCUCCUGGGUGUGUCCCCUCCCCCUCCAGCCCUCUGCUCUGUGUUGCCGGGUUAUGCUCUGGCUUGCUGCAACCCUGCUUGGGGCAAGAGCUUUCAGUGUGUGUGUGUGUGUGUGUGAGUGAUUUUUAACUCAUAUACACAGUUUGUCAUUAAUACUGCAGCAAGCUGGUCUUAUAGAUGGUGGACUUUGUCAGCUGGGACCAGUUUUCUUGAGGUAAUCUCUGGUACAGAUCAGUGUAAGGUUUGUAUAAAGGGAAACAUCUUUUGGUGUCAAUAUGGUUUUUCAUGUUUCCAACUGCAUCUUAUGCAGAAAUUGAUGUUUUAUUUGAUCCAGCUGAUACUGUGUUGCUGCACUUCUACUACUGUGCUAUUUACUCAUGAGGUAUUAUUGUCUCCCCAGUGCUGGCGUUGCCCAUCUUAGGGAUGAAAUCAACAGCAAUAAACGGAGUUGCUGGAGAAUCAGUUGUGCUUCACACAGGACUGGGAGAUAAAAGCCAUUCAAUCCUGAUGCACUGGAUGAAGGAUAAAAAUAUUAUCAUUCAAAUAAAAAAUAAUAAGACACAAGUAAAAAUGUCACAAUAUAAAGGAAGAAUUUCAGUGGAUGAGAAAACUUGGUCUUUAACCAUUUACCCUGCAAGAGCAACUGAUGGUGGAGAGUAUGUUUUUCAAAAGUUGAAUUCAGCCCCAACAAUGUCAACAAUACUUCAUGUUUACGUGCUACAAGAUGUAGACACUGUGUAUGCUGAAAUAGAAGAGCUGAACUAUGAAGACCAUCAGAAGAACAUUAUGUGUAGCAAGUCAGCUACCGGCAACACUACCACCUGUUAUGAUACUUUGCAAAGUACAGCUGUUAUCCCUACUGGUCCUUUCACUCUUUAUGACACAGUGAACUUCACUCGUCCCAUUACCACCAAAAAUGUAUGAGAAAAUUCUCUGAGGUUCCAAGAUCCUCUUCGCUACUGAAAGUGUCAACAAUGCAUCUAAGUAACAUACUUUGUCUUUUUCAUAUAUAUACAUAUGAGACACAGGCUGCUUAAUGUGUGAAAUUAUGUGUUAGUUAUUAAGUACACAUUAGGCUUCCGUAUGAAGUGAAAAUGUAUGGGGUUGUUAUAUGUGAUAAGAAAACCAUGGUCAACGAUGUAACCAACAGCACAGUAUUUUGUUUUGUGUUAACUUAAUCACCAUUAAAAUUAGUCAUUUGAGCUUGUAUGAUUUUUUUAUGUUUCAGACACUUAAAUUAUGCUUAAUGUUUAGAAGCAUUAAUACAAACAUUUUAAUCUAUAGUCUUUGUGCCUCAAUCAGUAUUAAUGUAAAAAGUCAUUAGUUUCCACACUUAAUUAAAUAGGAGCGACUCACCCA
ensembl:lncRNA